AACGCACGAGACCUGCGGACCUGCGGAGGGAUCAUUACCGAGUGUUGACCGCAAGGUCGCCUCCCACCCCUUGUGUACUCUCUCUGUUGCUUCGGCGAGACGUUGGCAACAAGCUGCCGUCGGCGUUAGCGGGCGUGAGCUCGCCGAAGGCCCUUAACUCUAAAUUGUUUGAGUGGUCUGAGGCAAAAAUUCAAUUCAUCAAAACUUUCAGCAACGGAUCUCUAGAUCGGAAGAGCACAC
rnacentral:misc_RNA from 1 species